rnacentral:rRNA from 1 species
UUGAACGCUGGCGGCAUGCCUUACACAUGCAAGUCGAACGGUAGAGGGGCAACCCUUGAGAGUGGCGAACGGGUGAGUAAUAUAUCGGAACGUGCCCAGUCGUGGGGGGAUAACGCAGCGAAAGCUGCGCUAAUACCGCAUACGAUCUAUGGAUGAAAGCGGGGGAUCGCAAAGACCUCGCGCGAUUGGAGCGGCCGAUAUCAGAUUAGGUAGUUGGUGGGGUAAAAGCCCACCAAGCCGAUGAUCUGUAGCUG